rnacentral:rRNA from 1 species
UCAGAAUGAACGCUGGCGGCGUGCUUAACACAUGCAAGUCGAACGGUAACAGAUAGUAGCUUGCUACUAUGCUGACGAGUGGCGCACGGGUGAGUAAUAUAUAGAUAAUGUGCCCCUUAGUCUGGGAUAGCCAUUGGAAACGAUGAUUAAUACUAGAUACUCCUUCUUAUCAGAAGAUAAGUCGGGAAAGUUUUUUCGCUAAGGGAUCGGUCUAUAUCCCAUCAGUUAGUUGGUAAGGUAACGGCUUACCAAGGCGAUGACGGGUAGCGGGUUUGAGAGGAUGAUCCGCCACACUGGUACUGAGACACGGACCAGACUCCUACGGGAGGCAGCAGUGAGGAAUAUUGCACA